GCUGGGAGCACGCGGGGCGGUCCGGCAGUUGGCGAGGCGCGCGGACUCGGGGAGGCUCCGGCGCUGGGCUCCGGGUCGUGGUCCGCGUGGGCACCUGCUGUCCCUGGAAGGGGCUCCGGCCAGGAAGAAAACACUGUACAGUUCCAUGCAUCCUCUGGGAAAUCUUGCAAAGUAUCCCCUGCAGGUUACUCAGAAAGGGCUUUUAAAACUAAAUGAAAACAUGUCUGUGCUUCCAAAGAGGUAAAAUUAUUAGCCUGUUAAAUUUUUAAAAUCCUUGAGUGCCAGUUAGAAUUUAAGGCCCUAAUUUCUUACAUUUCAGAAGUAAGGGAAUACCUACUUCAAAGAAAAAGGAAGGAGCUGAGGGUGGAGCGAAUCCAUCAUGGCCCUGGCUUCAAUGCCCAAUACCAAAAAUAAACAGAACCAAGGAAAAGCAAAACCCC
rnacentral:lncRNA from 1 species